GGGGAAGCUCCAAGCGUGGAGAGGAAUUUACCGACUGAGCUGGAGAGAUGAAGCCUGAAUCUAGUAAGGAGAUCCUCCAUGAAGACAACCUUCCCCAUGUGGAUGGGGCAUAUCUCUGGAUCAGUGGGUGAAUUCAUGCUUGACAGGCCUAAGAUCCUUUGGCUUCAACGUGUGGCAUUUCUUGUACUGGGCCUUGGAGUACUAUAGCUAAUCCAUGACUUGUUUGCACAUCACAAGAAACCUGGAUUAUUGAAAAUUCUGAAAUCAGCUGGAUUUGUACACCAUACAGUCCCUAUUAACAAAACAAUCUCCCGUAUGUUUAGUGCAAUUUUUGAACUCAUCUAAUAUAAACAAUACUAUGUUUGAUGGAUCAGAAUUUUCAAUAAAGCAGCUUUUUAUACA